CUAUAAGCCUCCAGCAUGAGUGGAUCUGAGUUGACCCUGUACAUUCCUACGGUACUUGCAAGAACAUUAUGAAACAGCUUGAGACCUUGCCAUACUCCAAUCAGAGCUAGGUUAUAGAAAUUUUAGACAAUC